rnacentral:rRNA from 1 species
AUACGGAGGGUGCAAGCGUUAAUCGGAAUUACUGGGCGUAAAGCGCGCGUAGGCGGCUUGGUAAGUCGGAUGUGAAAGCCCAGGGCUCAACCUUGGAAUUGCAUUCGAUACUGUCAGGCUAGAGUAUGGUAGAGGGAAGCGGAAUUCCAGGUGUAGCGGUGAAAUGCGUAGAUAUCUGGAGGAACAUCAGUGGCGAAGGCGGCUUCCUGGAUCAAUACUGACGCUGAGGUGCGAAAGCGUGGGGAGCAAACAGGAUUAGAUACCCGAGUAGUCC